GGGGGCGCAGCAGGAGCGGGAGGAGCAGCGUGAGCGAGGGCGGAAGGAGAGGCCGGGAGGCCGCAGCUCCCCCGCCCGCAUCGCUCAGGAUUUCUCAUUCCCAAACCUUGGCUGAAUGGAGGAGGAGGCUGUGAGGAAGAGGAAGAUGCCCCAGGACACCCAGACAGGUGAGGAGGAAGUCAGUGCCCCUUUCCUCCUCUGUUGUCCUGCAUCUUCCAGCUGAGUAUCGCCCCUGGCUGCAGGACAACCUCGCUGCUGACCUGCCGGGGAUGGAUUUGAGGGGAUCUCCUUCCCCUUCCCCUUCUCUCUCUGGGCUGGAACAGAUGAACAGGAGUGUCCAGUCCCAUAGGCCGAGAUGACACAAUGAAUCUCUGCAGUUCCUGCAAAGUAGAACCUAAACCGUUAAACAAUUUUGCUUAUUAACCUUCCUUAUGUGAAUAGGGAGCAUGUUGUUUUCCGUCUUGGAUUGUAUGUGGAUCUUUAAUAUGGCCAUAGACAAGGCCUGAACCCACAUCAUAGAUGUUUCUUGACAAA